CAGCAGCCGCGGUAAUACGAGGGGAGCUAGCGUUGUUCGGAAUUACUGGGCGUAAAGCGCGCGUAGGCGGCUUUUUAAGUCAGAGGUGAAAGCCCGGGGCUCAACCCCGGAAUUGCCUUUGAAACUGGAAAGCUAGAAUCAUGGAGAGGUCAGUGGAAUUCCGAGUGUAGAGGUGAAAUUCGUAGAUAUUCGGAAGAACACCAGUGGCGAAGGCGACUGACUGGACAAGUAUUGACGCUGAGGUGCGAAAGCGUGGGGAGCAAACAGGAUUAGAUACCCCAGUAGUCCCUGUCUCUUAUAC
rnacentral:rRNA from 1 species